UACGUAGGGUGCAAGCGUUGUCCGGAAUUAUUGGGCGUAAAGGGCUCGUAGGCGGUCUGUCGCGUCAGGAGUGAAAACUCGGGGCUUAACCCCGAGCCUGCUUCUGAUACGGGCAGACUAGAGGUAUGCAGGGGAGAAUGGAAUUCCUGGUGUAGCGGUGAAAUGCGCAGAUAUCAGGAGGAACACCGGUGGCGAAGGCGGUUCUCUGGGCAUUACCUGACGCUGAGGAGCGAAAGUGUGGGGAGCGAACAGG
rnacentral:rRNA from 1 species